rnacentral:tRNA from 1 species
GUGGCCAUAGGAUAGUGGUAGUCUGGCAGAUUGUGGCUCUGCUCAUGGGGGUUCGAUUCCCCCUGGUCACA